rnacentral:rRNA from 1 species
AGUGAACGCUGGCGGUAGGCCUAACACAUGCAAGUCGAACGGCAGCACAGUAAGAGCUUGCUCUUACGGGUGGCGAGUGGCGGACGAGUGAGGAAUACAUCGGAAUCUACUUUUUCGUGGGGGAUAACGAAGGGAAACUUACGCUAAUACCGCAUACGACCUACGGGUGAAAGCAGGGGAUCUUCGGACCUUGCGCGAUUGAAUGAGCCGAUGUCGGAUUAGCUAGUUGGCGGGGUAAAGGCCCACCAAGGCGACGAUCCGUAGCUGGUCUGAGAGGAUGAUCAGCCACACUGGAACUGAGACACGGUCCAGACUCCUACGGGAGGCAGCAGUGGGGAAUAUUGGACAAUGGGCGCAAGCCUGAUCCAGCCAUACCGCGUGGGUGAAGAAGGCCUUCGGGUUGUAAAGCCCUUUUGUUGGGAAAGAAAAGCAGCAGGUUAAUACCCCGCUGUUCUGACGGUACCCAAAGAAUAAGCACCGGCUAACUUCGUG